AUUGAACGCUGGCGGCAGGCCUAACACAUGCAAGUCGAGCGGAGCGGCGGACGGGUGAGUAAUGCCUAGGAAUCUGCCUGGUAGUGGGGGAUAAGGUCCGGAAACGGGCGCUAAUACCGCAUACUAUCAGAUGAGCUUAGGUCGGAUUAGCUAGUUGGUGGGGUAAAGUCCUACCAUGGCGGCGAUCCGUAACUGGCAGGAGAGGAUGAUCCGUCAACCGGGAACUGGGACACGGCCCGGACUCCUACGGGAGGCAGAGUUGGGGAAUAUUGGACAAUGGGCGAAAGCCGUAUCCAGCCAUGCCGCGUGUGUGAGGAGGUUCUUCGGAUUGUAAAGCACUUUAAGUUGGGAGGCGUUACCAACAGAAUAAGCACCGGCUAACUUCGUGCCAGCAGCCGCGGUAAUAC
rnacentral:rRNA from 1 species